GACAGAGGGUGCAAACGUUGUUCGGAAUUACUGGGCGUAAAGCGCGUGUAGGCGGCCCUGCAAGUCGGGUGUGAAAUCCCACGGCUCAACCGUGGAAGUGCACUCGAAACUGCAGGGCUAGAGUCCUGGAGAGGAAGGUGGAAUGCUUGGUGUAGAGGUGAAAUUCGUAGAUAUCAAGCGGAACACCAGUGGCGAAGGCGGGUCACUGGACAGUUCCUGACGCUGAGGCACGAAGGUCAGGGGAGCGAAACGGG
rnacentral:rRNA from 1 species